AGAGAGAGAGAGUUCCAAGGAAGAAGAAGUGGAGAGUGGACGUAUUCUUCCCUCCUCUUCCUCCUUCUUUCCUCCUCCUCCUCCUCCUCUUCCUCACCCGUCACCGCAGCUAAGGAAGACAAAUGUGGUUGGUGAAACUUUCCAGGAGGAGGAGGAGGAGGAGGAGGAGAGGACGAAGAUGAAGAGAAGAGAGGAAAGGGUCGGAGAGAGGAACACAAGAGGAAGAGGAAGAGAAGGAAAAAAAAAUUCGCCGAAGGAGGAGAACAAGCAAGAGGCUUGUUUGGACUUGACAAGAGGAGGCAAAAAAGGAGGAGAAAGAAGAGGAAGAAAAAGAGGAAGGCGAGGAGGAAGAGACUAAACAAAGAGGAGGAGGAAGAAGAGGGAGAGAAAAAGAGAAGGAAGAGGAAAGAGAAAACAACUAUAAAGAUGUUGGCACUCCAGAGACUCACCACCACCAAGAAGAGAGAGGGGACCAGCAGGCUUGGAUGGACCUGUGCAGAAGUAUGGGAGGUACAAGUGAGAGUGAAUGACAACUGUCCUACUGCUGACUCCGACGGCAGUGUGCAAGGCUUCUCCAUCCAGGCAGCAGUGCAGGUGUUGGGGUUAGGGGCUGCAGAACAAGUGCAAGACUUCACCAUCCAGGCCGCAGCAGUGCAGGUCGUGGGCUGCAGGACAAGAAGAAUAUUCAUUGUGUGAAGUUGUUAAUCUAAUAAACGGUUGGGACAC